GUGCUCGCUUUGGCAGCAUAUAUACUAAAAUUGGAACGAUACAGAGAAGAUUAGCAUGGCCCCUGUGCAAGGAUGACAUGCAAAUUCAUGAAGCAUUCCAUAUUUAA
rnacentral:snRNA from 1 species